rnacentral:misc_RNA from 1 species
GAUGAAGAACGUAGCGAAAUGCGAUAAGUAAUGUGAAUUGCAGAAUUCAGUGAAUCAUCGAAUCUUUGAACGCACAUUGCGCCCGCCAGUAUUCUGGCGGGCAUGCCUGUCCGAGCGUCAUUUCAACCAUCAAGCCCCGGGCUUGUGUUGGGGACCUGCGUCCGACGCAGGCCCUGAAAACCAGUGGCGGGCUCGCUGUCCACACCGAGCGUAGUAGCAUACACAUCGCUCAGGGCGUGCUGCGGGUUCCGGCCGUUAAACCCCUUUUUUACCCAAGGUUGACCUCGGAUCAGGUAGGAAGACCCGCUGAACUUAAGCAUAUCAAUAAGCGGAGGA